UACGUAGGUGGCAAGCGUUGUCCGGAAUUAUUGGGCGUAAAGCGCGCGCAGGCGGUCCUUUAAGUCUGAUGUGAAAGCCCACGGCUCAACCGUGGAGGGUCAUUGGAAACUGGGGGGCUUGAGUACAGAAGAGAAGAGUGGAAUUCCACGUGUAGCGGUGAAAUGCGUAGAGAUGUGGAGGAACACCAGUGGCGAAGGCGACUCUUUGGUCUGUAACUGACGCUGAGGCGCGAAAGCGUGGGGAGCAAACAGG
rnacentral:rRNA from 1 species